ensembl:lncRNA
CACUCACUCAUCCAGAACAGGUGGCAGGAGCGUGUGCAGAGAGCAUGUUGUGCCAGAGCAGAGGAUGUGUGCAUGCAGCUCUCUACAGACUAUGAGGCCAAGAUGGUACAGCAUGUAGAGGAGCUCCAGAAAGCUCAAGCUGAAAUCCACAGGCUGCACACGGAGCGAGAGCGCUAUGAGGACUCUAUGAAGAAAGCGUUCAUGCGUGGGGUCUGCGCACUCAACAUCGAGGCCCUUGGCAUGUUUAACACUGGAGAAGCGGGUAGACUGGUCCAUGGUAAGAUAAUAGAGAGGUUCAGCUCAAUAACAUUAGCAAUAUUCACAUUUAUUAAGGCACAAUGUUCCAGUUUAACAUGACUGAUCGUUACAUCAUUGAAGUGUAGGUUAUAAGUGUAGGUUCUCUUAUGCAAAAAAAAAAAGGAAAGAUUUGAAUGUUAUAAAACCUCUUCACAUUAGUGUUAAAGACUGUGAAUUUGACAAAAGGUCAUUUCCAAAUAAUUGAAUACACCCUAGGCAUGUCAGUUUAUAUAGCAACUAAAUCAGAUUGAUUGUGGUAAUGGCUUUCUAGCCUCUGGCUUUACUAAUCAAAAGUUUAAUAUAUUCCUGCAUCAUAAUCAACCUUUUUUCCUUCUGUUGUCCCAUGUGUAGCUCAUACUGUGUAUACAAUGAAAUAAGCAGUAAAGGUAGACAAAUGUUUAAGGUUAAAGUGGGUCGUUUUAUAUUUUUCAGUCUUAAAAUACUUAUUCCAGGGUGUGCAUACAACUAUAAACCAGCCAUUCAAACAAACAGAAGCAGGAACAGUGAAAUAGAAACAGAAGGACAGCUGUUAUUAACCAUUCAUUAUUUCUUGAAAUGUGGUCACAUUUACAGAUGUUUGGCAAAUUUUCACCGUUAAAAUCAAGUCAUUUCAAUGGGAAUCCACGUGAUCUGGAAUUUCGCAUGAGGGCGAAAGAUUUCCCAACACAGAUUUUGCAGCAUUACAAGUUGUUUGCACUAGUUUGCCAGAAAGCUGCUUGGUUUGAAAGUGAGUUCUGUGUGAGCUGUGCUUUAAACAUUAUUACACUAUUGUCAUAGACCAGUGAUCUCCAAACCUGCUCCUGGAGAGCUACCGUCCUGCAGACUUCAGUCCCAACCCUGCUCCAUCACA